AUUGAACGCUGGCGGCAGGCCUAAUACAUGCAAGUCGAGCGAGCGGCGGACGGGUGAGUAAUGUCUGGGAAACUGCCUGAUGGAGGGGGAUAACUACUGGAAACGGUAGCUAAUACCGCAUACCAUCAGAUGUGCCCAGAUGGGAUUAGCUAGUAGGUGGGGUAAAGGCUCACCUAGGCGACGAUCCCUAGCUGGUCUGAGAGGAUGACCAGCCACACUGGAACUGAGACACGGUCCAGACGCCGACGGGAGGCAGCAGUGGGGAAUAUUGCACAAUGGGCGAAAGCCUGAUGGAGCAAGGCCGCGUGUGUGAUGAAGGCCGUCGGGUUGUAAAGCACUUUCAGCGGGGAGGCGUUACCCGCAGAAAAAGCACCGGCUAACUCCGUGCCAGCAGCCGCGGUAAUAC
rnacentral:rRNA from 1 species